rnacentral:lncRNA from 1 species
GCAGAGGUUGCUGGCCUAGAGCUUUUAUGGCCUGUGCCUGGGUCUCCUGCUCAGGUGAAAACUGUAAUUCCACUCAGCUGCCUUAUAUGAGUGAGGCUUCAAUCAACACUUCUUAUGACUACAAAAAGUAUGCCAGGCCCACUGAGGACAAGAACUGUGUGUUAUUCACCUGAGUGCCCCCAGCAAGGACUCCACACAAAAGAUGCUCAAUAACUAGUUACUAAAAUCAAUUGCUGCAACUGAACAUCCCCUAAACAUUGCCCUAACACUCAUAGAUACAUGCAGUGUCUUGCUCAUUAAAGGCAAACCACAAGUAUUUACAGAAUUUAUUUGAUACUAGGUUCUCCUAAGUUGGGGCUACCAUACAACGUUGCACAGAAUGUACACUGCAAAGAGAUACCACAUUGAGAAGGUUGUCUUCCACAUUGCAGCCAUCAAAGGCUUAAGUAUAAAAGUGAAAACCACAUAGCUCUUAGAAGAAAACAGAGAUGUAAAUAUGACCUAGGAUUAAGCAACAAUUUCUUAGAUAUUCCACUGAAAGCACAAGAAACAAAAGAAAAAAUAAAAUCGGGCUUACUCAAUAUUUAAAAACUUUUGUGAUUCAAAGGACACCAUUAGAAAAUGAAAAGACAACCCACAGAAAGAAAGAAAAUUUGUGAAAAUCAUAUAUCUGAUAAGAGACAUAUCUACAAUAUGUUUUUAAAAAAAUCUUCUAGACCUCAAUAGUAAGAAGACAAAUAACCCAAUUUUUUAAAUGGGCAAACUGUCUGAAUAGAUGUUUCUCCAAAGAAGAUACGCAGAUGUUCAAUACACACAGGAAGAUGACUAACAUGAUUAGUCACUGGAGAAAUGAAAUUAAAACCACAAUGAGAUUCCACUUCACACCCACUAGUAUGGCUAGAAUCAAAAAGACAGUUAAAUAUUGGUGAGGAUGUGGAAAAAUUGGGCCCCUCAUACACUGCAGUACCGCUGCUCUGUGAAACAAUCUGGCAACUCCCCAACAGGUUAAAUAUAGAGUUACAUAUAACCCAUCAAUCUCACUCC